rnacentral:rRNA from 1 species
UACGUAGGUCCCGAGCGUUGUCCGGAUUUAUUGGGCGUAAAGGGAGCGCAGGCGGCGCGCCAAGUCUGAUGUGAAACCCCGGGGCUCAACCCCGGGCAUGCAUUGGAAACUGGCGGGCUGGAGUGCCGGAGAGGUAAGCGGAAUUCCUAGUGUAGCGGUGAAAUGCGUAGAUAUUAGGAGGAACACCAGUGGCGAAGGCGGCUUACUGGACGGCAACUGACGCUGAGGCUCGAAAGCGUGGGGAGCAAACAGG